rnacentral:rRNA from 1 species
GUAGGGAAUCUUCGGCAAUGGGGGCAACCCUGACCGAGCAACGCCGCGUGAGUGAAGAAGGUUUUCGGAUCGUAAAGCUCUGUCGUAAGUCAAGAACGAGUGUGAGAGUGGAAAGUUCACACUGUGACGGUAGCUUACCAGAAAGGGACGGCUAACUACGUGCCAGCAGCCGCGGUAAUACGUAGGUCCCGAGCGUUGUCCGGAUUUAUUGGGCGUAAAGCGAGCGCAGGCGGUUUGAUAAGUCUGAAGUUAAAGGCUGUGGCUCAACCAUAGUUCGCUUUGGAAACUGUCAAACUUGAGUGCAGAAGGGGAGAGUGGAAUUCCAUGUGUAGCGGUGAAAUGCGUAGAUAUAUGGAGGAACACCGGUGGCGAAAGCGGCUCUCUGGUCUGUAACUGACGCUGAGGCUCGAAAGCGUGGGGAGCGAACAGGAUUAGAUACCCUGGUAGUCCACGCCGUAAACGAUGAGUGCUAGGUGUUGGAUCCUUUCCGGGAUUCAGUGCCGCAGCUAACGCAUUAAGCACUCCGCCUGGGGAGUACGACCGCAAGGUUG